rnacentral:tRNA from 1 species
GGCACUUGCUUUAUCUCUAUGGUGCGCCAGAUAAAACCACAGGUUUAGGUAUGGGGGCAUCGGCGAUGAUCUAUCAA